CAGAAGCUAGCGUUUAGAGAAAAGCGGGUUCUUCUUUUAGUCUCCAUUUUUAGAUUUUCAAGUUUCAUUUAGAUUUCAGAAAAAAUCAAAAAAUAAAAAUACGACAAAAUACGCUUCUGCUUCUUCCUUUGAUUCCGAUAUUUAUUUCCAAAAUAUUGAAUUUGAUUGAGUUGAAUAUGUUUUGAGUUUUGUUCGAGGUCAUAGUCGGAAGUUUUCUAGCUGCCGUUCAUGAGUUCCGAUUGCGGUUCGUGUUCAUCUUUGUUGUCGUUUCUCUUUCGUUUGGAUUCUGGAGGCAAUAUCUUAUAUUUGGCGAUUAUUCUAUUGGUGUUAAAGAUAGUCUUGGCUUAGCAGAUUCGAGCCGAUUGGAGUUGGAAAAUCGAGGGAAAGACAUCCUUAUCGAUUGAUUGAGCGAGAUUUGAGAUCCAGGUACUUCCUAUCCGACUAGGUAUCAUUGAACUAGCUAUACACGGAGACUUCAAGGUACAUAUGCCAGCGUCCGCAGACCUCGGAGUCCCCCUCUAUCCUUAUUAUGUUGUCUU